CAAACUCCUGGACUCAAGUGAUCCUUCUGCAUCAGGCUACCAAGUAGCUGGGACUAUAGGCAUGCACCACCACGCUUGAACCUAGUAUGCUUUCUGGUCUGAACACUCAAGGAAGCAAAGAAGGAUGGCUCCUGUAAGUGCAAGUGACCUUUGCAUAUAGUGCCUGAAAUCAGAGGAAGCUUGUCAGUGUGGGCAGACACUACCAGUAGACCAGUCUGACAUUCCUCUUCUCUUUUAACCUCUUGAAAAUUAUUCGAUGAAGAUCCUAACAUUAAUUGCUCCUGAUUAAGGUUUAAAACUUUAGCUUACUGUGGGUUAAAUUUAGGUUUUUGAUGGUCAUCCAAAAUCUUUGUGUCCUUUCAGUUUCAUUGCAGAAUAAAAAACAAAUUGACUACAAUGGA